rnacentral:lncRNA from 1 species
CGGGGGUCUAUCGAAAACAACCUCUCUACUUCAUCUGAGGUAGUGGUAUGGACUUUGUACACUUUAUCUUUCCCCGACUCACACUUUUGAUAAUACACUGGGUAUGUUGUAGUUGUUGAUGAUGAUGAUGAAGAGGAAGGAAUUAACCAUCGCGGAAUAUGGCAGGAUACUUGGAAUUGCUUAGUUGUUAAUCAGAGGUUUCAAAUUCGAAUUUUGGGACAAGCAGCUAGUUAAUGUGUGCUCAAUCACUCAUAUAUCGAUCUUCAACCUAAAGCUGCCCGGGCUCGAGCCCACUUGAGAACUGUG